UGGCGGCACUAGCGCGGUGGUCCCACCUGACCCCAUGCCGAACUCAGAAGUGAAACGCCGUAGCGCCGAUGGUAGUGUGGGGUCUCCCCAUGUGAGAGUAGGGAACUGCC
rnacentral:rRNA from 1 species